rnacentral:rRNA from 1 species
UACGGAGAGGACAAGUGUUAUUCGUAUUGACUGGGUGUAAAGGGUACGUAGGCGGCUGUUUAAGUUAGCAAACAAAUCGUAAAAAUUUUGCUAAUACUAUCCGGCUAGAGUUAUGGGGAGGAAAGCGGUACUUCCAGUUUAGAAGUGACAUUCGUUUGAGAUUGGGGGGACCAACAUUAGGCGACGGCAGCUUUUCAUUCAUAUACUGACGCUGAGGUACGAAAGCGUGGGGAGCGAACGGG